rnacentral:rRNA from 1 species
AACGAACGCUGGCGGCAUGCCUAACACAUGCAAGUCGAACGAGACCUUCGGGUCUAGUGGCGCACGGGUGCGUAACGCGUGGGAACCUGCCCUUAGGUUCGGAAUAACUCCCGAAAGGGGUGCUAAUACCGGAUAAUGUCUUCGGACCAAAGAUUUAUCGCCUUUGGAUGGGCCCGCGUUGGAUUAGCUAGUUGGUAGGGUAAAAGCCUACCAAGGCGACGAUCCAUAGCUGGUCUGAGAGGAUGAUCAGCCACACUGGGACUGAGACACGGCCCAGACUCCUACGGGAGGCAGCAGUGGGGAAUAUAGGACAAUGGGCGAAAGCCUGAUCCAGCAAUGCCGCGUGAGUGAUGAAGGCCUUAGGGUUGUAAAGCUCUUUUACCCGGGAUGAUAAUGACAGUACCGGGAGAAUAAGCUCCGGCUAACUCCGUG